UUUUUGGCUUUUAAUAAAUAAUUUUGAUUUCUUGGCUGAUAUUUUCUAACGUUUUGUUUCAAAAUAAUUUGUAAUAACUUGUUGAAACAUUUUUAUCAUAGCAGCUUUCAAAUCCUUGUCAGAUAAAUCAGGUAGCACCUGCUGAUGGUCCUUUCUCAUUCAUAGGUGAUAUUCCUGGAUCUUGGUAUGAGUGAUUUGCAGGAAUUGUAUAAAUUUGUAUGAAUUGUAUCCUGUAUGUUUCUGAUAUUAAGAGACCCUAGAUCCAAUUUAAUCUUUUAGUGGGCAGCUUCCCUGCUACAAAGGUAUUAAUACCAGGGAUGCGUGGGCAUGCAUGUUCAGCUACCCGCUAGCCCCCCAUUCCCCAUCACCCUGACAAAAGUCAGGUGAUGACUCACAUUGCCUUGUUGCAGACAGAUGGGGUGGGAGUUCAGCUCAUUGACACCUUCCCAGCCAAAGUGUGGCUCCAACUCACCAUUUCUGUUGCCUCUGUGUAAGAUCAGCUACCCUCUGGGCCAAGCUACCACAAGGGAAGGGAAAGCCAAGGGCUAAGCCACACCAGUUUGUUGCUGCAUCCGGGAGCAGAAGUUCAGCACCCCCAUGGGCCCUACUUAUACCAGAGGAGGGGUAGGGAGGUGGGGAGUGUCAGUUAGCUCCACUCCUCCAUACCUCAUUUGCCACCAGUAGGUGUGGAGGCUCACCUCCCCACCAGGGGAUGAUGGCGAUGGAAGGGGUCAAGUGUAAUGGUAAUUAGCCUCCUGCUAGCACCACCUCAUCAUGGCUGGUGGGGGCUGGAAACGGCCCUAAGCUGGGCCUUGCUGACACUACCCUGGCAGAGAAGUCAGAGCACCACCUGCUCCUACCAGGCAGAGGGUGGAAGAUCGGCUCCCCAUGAGGCGCUGUCAGCACCACCUGGCAGGGGAACUGAAGUGCCACCUGCUUCUGCCACGCAGGAAAUGAAAGAUUAACUCUCUUCUCAGGCACACCUCCAGCCUCUGGGUGGGGAACCGAAGCAUGCUGCCUGCUCUCGAAGCCUCGGAAGGGAGGAGGGCAGUUUCCUUGGUUUAGCUGGAGCAGAGUGAGUACCGACAAAAGGUCUGUUUUGUUAGACCACCCUCCCUUCCCCUGUCCUCUGGCUAUGCGGAACAGGCUCUUCUCAGAGUUUUGCUGUCUGUGACUACUGGUGGUUCAGGGAUGCAGGCUUCCGCAGUGCCUUGUACGGGACACGUGGGAGAUAGUAAGGAAACUGAGGGAACUGACCCCCUUGUCAUUCUAGAGUGGCCACAGUCUUCUCUUCACCAUUCAGCAUCUUCCUAUGCUUCUUUGUUAUGUGAAGUCCAGGGAUUUUGAGUCCUAAGAGGGUAGAGAGAAAUGGGGCUGCUCCACCAUUCCCAUUGUUUCAUCUUUCUUUGCUAUCUUGCGCAGUUUCUACUUUUCUUUUCCUGACUCCCACUGGUCUGGGUUGGGUUACUAUUCAUUUCGUUUUUGCUCCUGUGAAUUUGAAAGUUCCACUGCUUACUUUUCUCUUCCUGGCAGUAGUGAUCAGUCCCAUAUUUUAUGACUAUUUCUUACGACUACUUUCUCCACAAAGACCCUCUUAUCCUUCAAUCUUCUGAUGAAGACAAGACCUUCAGAAUAAUUUCCCUGUCCCCAUCUGCCAUGUGGCAAAUGUUUGAGCACCUACUAUGUACCGGGUGAAGAAAAGAUAAGGAGCAAAAUAACAUUCCUGCCCUAUGAAGCUUAUAGUCUACUGGGGAACUGAAAAAAAAAAAAAAAAGAUAUGUACCAUUAUGCAUCUUAUCCCAGUAAGUUAAUAAAGCAGUUGUUUUAAAUACAGAACAAUCAGGAGGCAGCUUGGAAGUAACUUGGUAAGCCAGGUGGGUAACGCUUAGAGGGUAAAGAAAGAUAACUGGGACCAUCCACACAGAACCUUGUAGGCCAUAGUAAGGCUUUUAAGUUGUAUUCUAAGUGCAAUAGGAUUUAUAAUCUAAGUGAGCAGUGGAAAGACAUUAUUAGAUUUAUGUCACUCUGGCAACUGGAUACAGAAGUUAAAAGUUAGGGCCACCAUUUGUAAGGCUUAUUAGUGAUGAUGGUGGCCUGGAAUGGCAGCAAUGAGGCUGAUUAUAAGUGACUGGUUUCAGGGUAUGUUUUAGAAGCAGAGAAAACAGAAUUUACUAACGGGAUUCAGUGUGAGAAAUAAGAGAAGAAAAAAAUGAAGGAUAACUCCAAGAUUUGGGGCCUAAGUUACUGGAUAAAUGAUAAAGCCACUUAUUAAAAUGGGAGACACUAAGUGAGAGAGAUUUGAAAAAAAAAAAAGAAAAAAGAAAAAUCGAGAGUGGUUUCAGACAUGUUAGAUGUGAGAAGCCUAUGAGAUAUCUAAGAUGACUGACCACUGGAAAUAUACCUCUGGACUUCUGGGAAAGGCUGAAGCUAGAGAUAAACAAAGGAGAUUGCCCACAAAGAGAAGAGAAGUCAAGAACAGAAUAAGGACUGAACCUGAGGAUAUGAAGAGAAGAUUCAAUGAAGGAAACAGAAUGAGCUGCCGCCAGCGAGACAGGAAAGUACAGUGCCCUGGAUUCUAAGUGAAGAAUGGUGCCACGUGCUGUGCGGGGCUGUCGUGGGGCCUCUGGAACGUGUUCCGGCCCUCUCACCUCCAGGAUCCGCCUCCAAGAGCCUCAGUUCUCCCAGCAACCUUGCUGACUCCUGCCUCUGCUUUCUCACACUCUUUACGGGGCUAUGACAGCUACUUGUGGUCAUUUGAAAGGGGUAGCAGGGAAGAAUGGGAGGACAAUUAAGUGGAGUUCAUACCCGACAGCUUCUUCUUCUCAAGUGUAGGCUCCACCAUCUACUGAGAGUGAAAGAGGCCAGCGUAGAGUGAGAACUGUUGCUUUCAGCAACAAACAAGUCAACCUAUCAAGGAAAGGUGAAAGGACUACAGAACAGUCUUGAAGAGCCAGCUAUACUCAGAAACUAUAAAUGUAGAAAAUACUGCAGACUGACUCACUUCAAUCUACUCCCACCUUCUAGCCCUGCAGAGUCUGGAAAGCUGAAAACCACAUUUCCCAGUUCUCUUGCUACUGGGGUUCUGCUCUAGAUUUAGGUUCUGUCAGAUCAUGAUAAAAGUGAAUCACGCAAAACGCAAAUUGUAUGGUCCAACUGGGUUAAGAACGAAACUGAACUAAGUGGGGAGAGAAACAGACUGUGACGUAGCCACUUUGCUCUUGUGGACAGCAGCUGAGGUGGUGUGGUUCUGAGGCCAGCAGUGGAGCAGCAACAGCCAAAUCAGCAGCCCCAUGUCUGGGAUAGACGCUGGCCACCCUGGCAGUCCAGUCCCACAGGGCAGCCUUGGGAAUUGCUCCCAGCAGGUCGUGCUAGAGAGUAUGUUUUUAAGUAUGCUCAACAAUUCACCAAGAAAUUUAAUUCCCUGUAAUAAAUUACUUUCUGCUUAAAGUAGGAAGAAUUAGAGUCUGUGCUCGACAACUGGACCCUGAGCAAUACCAUCGUCAAAGUUGUUCUAAUUUAUCCAGAAGUGCUGAGACACAAGGGUACAAGAGAAGGGAAGGGCAGGGAGUUUGUGCUAGGUUAGGGGUAUGCAUGGUAGGACAGAUUACAAAACAGGCAAGCCAGUUCAGGGUUCUGAUGUAGGAGUUACAAAUGAACCUGGAAUCUAGGCUGAGUGUGAAAGGAAAUAAAGCCACUGCCAACAUACAAGAAGUCAGAGAUAAUGAAAGACACAGACAGGUAGGAGACCAAGACAAAACAAAAGAUAAGCAUUCCAUAGUCACAGUCGAGAUACCUCUUUGACCUCAUUAAACGGCAACACAAGGUUAUGAAACGUAAUGAACACCUCUGCAGAAAAUGGCACGCUCCUUUCAUACACCAUUUGUAUGUACUUUCCAAACACCAGUGACC
ensembl:lncRNA